AGAGUUUGAUCCUGGCUCAGAACGAACGCUGGCGGCAUGCCUAACACAUGCAAGUCGAACGUGAAGCCGCCCUUCGGGGCGGUGGAAAGUGGCGCACGGGUGAGUAACGCGUGGGAACCUGCCCCUUGGUAUGGGAUAACCGUGGGAAACUGCGGCUAAUACCGUAUACGCCCUGAGGGGGAAAGAUUUAUCGCCGAGGGAGGGGCCCGCGUCGGAUUAGGUAGUUGGUGGGGUAACGGCCUACCAAGCCGACGAUCCGUAGCUGGUCUUAGAGGACGGUCAGCCACACUGGGACUGAGACACGGCCCAGACUCCUACGGGAGGCAGCAGUGGGGAAUAUUGGACAAUGGGGGAAACCCUGAUCCAGCAAUGCCGCGUGGGUGACGAAGGCCUUAGGGUUGUAAAGCCCUUUCGGCGGGGAAGAUGAUGACGGUACCCGCAGAAGAAGCCCCGGCUAACUCCGUGCCAGCAGCCGCGGUAAUACGGAGGGGGCUAGCGUUGUUCGGAAUUACUGGGCGUAAAGGGCGUGUAGGCGGCCCGUCAAGUCAGGCGUGAAAGCCCUGGGCUUAACCUAGGAGGUGCGCUUGAAACUGAUGGGCUUGAGGCCGGGAGAGGAGAGUGGAAUUCCCAGUGUAGAGGUGAAAUUCGU
rnacentral:rRNA from 1 species